CUCAAGUAGAAGGCAUGUCAAAAUUGUUUGAACUUUAAACAUUUAGUAUUGAAAAAGAUAAAAUUUGAAAGGAAGCUAUUUCUACAAUUUUGGUUUUAGUUUUGAGUUUAGGAUCAUUUUCUGGACUUUGCCCUCAAACUAAAUCUGUGAAUUUC